rnacentral:rRNA from 1 species
AGUGAACGCUGGCGGUAGGCCUAACACAUGCAAGUCGAACGGCAGCACAGUAAGAGCUUGCUCUUACGGGUGGCGAGUGGCGGACGGGUGAGGAAUACAUCGGAAUCUACUUUUUCGGGGGGGAUAACGUAGGGAAACUUACGCUAAUACCGCAUACGACCUACGGGUGAAAGCAGGGGAGCUUCGGACCUUGCGCGAUUGAAUGAGCCGAUGUCGGAUUAGCUAGUUGGCGGGGUAAAGGCCCACCAAGGCGACGAUCCGUAGCUGGUCUGAGAGGAUGAUCAGCCACACUGGAACUGAGACACGGUCCAGACUCCUACGGGAGGCAGCAGUGGGGAAUAUUGGACAAUGGGCGCAAGCCUGAUCCAGCCAUACCGCGUGGGUGAAGAAGGCCUUCGGGUUGUAAAGCCCUUUUGUUGGGAAAGAACAGCAGCAGGUUAAUCCCCCGCUGUUCUGACGGUACCCAAAGAAUAAGCACCGGCUAACUUCGUG